CGGAAACCCAAUCUGAUGUGAAAAGUUCGACCUGCUUUGAAAAGUUUCCAAAAAAUUUUGCUUAAUUUCGGUAGGAUACAAAUAACAGACUGUUCCGAGCCAGUCCAAACAUGAACAAGAUAUUGAUAUCAUGUGUGUUCAUCAACUUGCUGACCACGCCUCUAGUGACGUCAUUACCGCAAACAUAUCCCAUCAUCCCACUGAAGCAUUACGCCCCAGUAGACGUCUGUCUAUUCAUCUGCAACAUAUGCUUUGAUGAUUCACAACCGCAAAAGUUGCUUAAUUGCGCUAACAAAGUAUGUCUAGCUCAACAACCCUACCAGAUGGUGAUUGGUUUGAUUAAGCUGGGACGCACGUGCGCGAACUUCAAAAGCGUGGAAGAAAUGGCCUACGAGGAGGAGAGCAACAAAACCUCAUAAAUUCAUCAUCGGAAUAACAACUAAAUUUAUUAGCAUUGUUGUCUAAUUCAAUGUCUGGAAUUUUAUCCCAAAUUUAUGACAUUAGCGUAUGUAAACACAUUACAAUGCAGUAUGUUGGGAGUUUUAAGUGACACUGGUCACAAACUAAAAUAAUAUGUCGAACAAAAAAGAAAGCACUUACCUAAGCUUUUAAUUAGCAAUCUGUAUACAGGAUUUGAUACUUAGGUGUUUAACGAUUUAUGUUUGAAAGGUUACAACAGAAGUUUAAAAGAACUGAUAACAUAUUGCUUUGUUAUUCUCUUAUAUCCAUAUUUGCAACAAUAAAAAACCGUUUGUAUUG